CAGUAGCCGCGGUAAUACGGAGGGUGCAAGCGUUAAUCGGAAUUACUGGGCGUAAAGCGCACGCAGGCGGUUUGUUAAGUCAGAUGUGAAAUCCCCGAGCUUAACUUUGGAACUGCAUUUGAAACUGGCAAGCUAGAGUGUUGUAGAGGGGGGUAGAAUUCCAGGUGUAGCGGUGAAAUGCGUAGAGAUCUGGAGGAAUACCGGUGGCGAAGGCGGCCCCCUGGACAAAGACUGACGCUCAGGUGCGAAAGCGUGGGGAGCAAACAGGAUUAGAUACCCCAGUAGUCCCUGUCUCUUAUAC
rnacentral:rRNA from 1 species